rnacentral:rRNA from 1 species
CCUCCCGUAUACUUACGGGAGGGGGUCCCUCACUCCUUUUGAGACUUUAAUUUUAUAAAUAUAAAUAUAAAUAUAAUAAGAUGUUAACUCUUUUAUAAAUAAAUAAUAAAUAUAAUUCUAUUUUUAAUAAUAAUAUAUAAUAUUUUUAUAAUAAAAUAUAUAAAUAAUAAUAUUUAUAUAUAUAUAUAUACUUUUUUUAUAUAAGAAUAAUAUAUAUAGUUCACAUUGGAGGCGAGUAAAAGGAGAUAAGAAAUAUAAUAUAAUAUAAUAAUAAAAAUAUAAUGAAUAAUAAUAAUAAAAAUUUAUAUAAUAACAAAAUAGUCCGGCCCGCCCCCCGCGGGGGGGGGCGGACCCCGAAGGAGUCGGAGUCCGACCGAAGGAGAUGAGAUUAUUAAUAUUAUUAAAUAAUAAAAUGUAUUAAUUAUAAAAUAUAAAACCUAUAAAUAAUUUAUAAUAUAAUUUAUAUUAUGAUAAUAAUAAUAUAUAUAUUAUAAUAUUUUAUAUAUAUAUUUAUUAUAUUUAUAUAAAAAAAGUGAUAUUGAUUAAUUUAAUUAAUUUAUAAUUAAUAAUUAUUAAUAUAGUCCGGCCGAAGGAGUGAGGGACCCCUCCCUAUACUAUACUAACGGGAGGGGGACCGAACCCCUUUUUAUCUUUAAUUAAGAAGGAGUUUAUUAUAUAUAUUAAAUAAGAUUUAUAAUAUAAUUAAUAUAUAUUUUAAUAAAUAUAAAAGAUUAUAUUAUAAAAAGUAUAUUUUAUAUUUAUAUUUAUAUAUAUAUUUUAUUUAUUAUUAUUAUAUAUAUAAGUAGUAAAAAGUAGAAUAAUAGAUUUGAAAUAUUUAUUAUAUAGAUUUAAAGAGAUAAUCAUGGAGUAUAAUAAUUAAAUUUAAUAAAUUUAAUAUAACUAUUAAUAGAAUUAGGUUACUAAUAAAUUAAUAACAAUUAAUUUUAAAACCUAAAGGUAAACCUUUAUAUUAAUAAUGUUUUUUUUUUUAUUAUUUUUAUAAUAAGAAUAAUUAUUAAUAAUAAUAAACUAAGUGAACUGAAACAUCUAAGUAACUUAAGGAUAAGAAAUCAACAGAGAUAUUAUGAGUAUUGGUGAGAGAAAAUAAUAAAGGUCUAAUAAGUAUUAUGUGAAAAAAAUGUAAGAAAAUAGGAUAACAAAUUCUAAGACUAAAUACUAUUAAUAAGUAUAGUAAGUACCGUAAGGGAAAGUAUGAAAAUGAUUAUUUUAUAAGCAAUCAUGAAUAUAUUAUAUUAUAUUAAUGAUGUACCUUUUGUAUAAUGGGUCAGCAAGUAAUUAAUAUUAGUAAAACAAUAAGUUAUAAAUAAAUAGAAUAAUAUAUAUAUAUAUAAAAAUAUAUUAAAAUAUUUAAUUAAUAUUAAUUGACCCGAAAGCAAACGAUCUAACUAUGAUAAGAUGGAUAAACGAUCGAACAGGUUGAUGUUGCAAUAUCAUCUGAUUAAUUGUGGUUAGUAGUGAAAGACAAAUCUGGUUUGCAGAUAGCUGGUUUUCUAUGAAAUAUAUGUAAGUAUAGCCUUUAUAAAUAAUAAUUAUUAUAUAAUAUUAUAUUAAUAUUAUAUAAAGAAUGGUACAGCAAUUAAUAUAUAUUAGGGAACUAUUAAAGUUUUAUUAAUAAUAUUAAAUCUCGAAAUAUUUAAUUAUAUAUAAUAAAGAGUCAGAUUAUGUGCGAUAAGGUAAAUAAUCUAAAGGGAAACAGCCCAGAUUAAGAUAUAAAGUUCCUAAUAAAUAAUAAGUGAAAUAAAUAUUAAAAUAUUAUAAUAUAAUCAGUUAAUGGGUUUGACAAUAACCAUUUUUUAAUGAACAUGUAACAAUGCACUGAUUUAUAAUAAAUAAAAAAAAAUAAUAUUUAAAAUCAAAUAUAUAUAUAUUUGUUAAUAGAUAAUAUACGGAUCUUAAUAAUAAGAAUUAUUUAAUUCCUAAUAUGGAAUAUUAUAUUUUUAUAAUAAAAAUAUAAAUACUGAAUAUCUAAAUAUUAUUAUUACUUUUUUUAAUAAUAAUAAUAUGGUAAUAGAACAUUUAAUGAUAAUAUAUAUUAGUUAUUAAUUAAUAUAUGUAUUAAUUAAAUAGAGAAUGCUGACAUGAGUAACGAAAAAAAGGUAUAAACCUUUUCACCUAAAACAUAAGGUUUAACUAUAAAAGUACGGCCCCUAAUUAAAUUAAUAAGAAUAUAAAUAUAUUUAAGAUGGGAUAAUCUAUAUUAAUAAAAAUUUAUCUUAAAAUAUAUAUAUUAUUAAUAAUUAUAUUAAUUAAUUAAUAAUAUAUAUAAUUAUAUUAUAUAUUAUAUAUUUUUUAUAUAAUAUAAACUAAUAAAGAUCAGGAAAUAAUUAAUGUAUACCGUAAUGUAGACCGACUCAGGUAUGUAAGUAGAGAAUAUGAAGGUGAAUUAGAUAAUUAAAGGGAAGGAACUCGGCAAAGAUAGCUCAUAAGUUAGUCAAUAAAGAGUAAUAAGAACAAAGUUGUACAACUGUUUACUAAAAACACCGCACUUUGCAGAAACGAUAAGUUUAAGUAUAAGGUGUGAACUCUGCUCCAUGCUUAAUAUAUAAAUAAAAUUAUUUAACGAUAAUUUAAUUAAAUUUAGGUAAAUAGCAGCCUUAUUAUGAGGGUUAUAAUGUAGCGAAAUUCCUUGGCCUAUAAUUGAGGUCCCGCAUGAAUGACGUAAUGAUACAACAACUGUCUCCCCUUUAAGCUAAGUGAAAUUGAAAUCGUAGUGAAGAUGCUAUGUACCUUCAGCAAGACGGAAAGACCCUAUGCAGCUUUACUGUAAUUAGAUAGAUCGAAUUAUUGUUUAUUAUAUUCAGCAUAUUAAGUAAUCCUAUUAUUAGGUAAUCGUUUAGAUAUUAAUGAGAUACUUAUUAUAAUAUAAUGAUAAUUCUAAUCUUAUAAAUAAUUAUUAUUAUUAUUAUUAAUAAUAAUAAUAAUAUGCUUUCAAGCAUAGUGAUAAAACAUAUUUAUAUGAUAAUCACUUUACUUAAUAGAUAUAAUUCUUAAGUAAUAUAUAAUAUAUAUUAUAUAUAUAUUAUAUAUAAUAUAAGAGACAAUCUCUAAUUGGUAGUUUUGAUGGGGCGUCAUUAUCAGCAAAAGUAUCUGAAUAAGUCCAUAAAUAAAUAUAUAAAAUUAUUGAAUAAAAAAAAAUAAUAUAUAUUAUAUAUAUUAAUUAUAAAUUGAAAUAUGUUUAUAUAAAUUUAUAUUUAUUGAAUAUAUUUUAGUAAUAGAUAAAAAUAUGUACAGUAAAAUUGUAAGGAAAACAAUAAUAACUUUCUUAAAUAAUUAUGGAAAGAAUUAAAUUAAUAUAAUGGUAUAACUGUGCGAUAAUUGUAACACAAACGAGUGAAACAAGUACGUAAGUAUGGCAUAAUGAACAAAUAACACUGAUUGUAAAGGUUAUUGAUAACGAAUAAAAGUUACGCUAGGGAUAACAGGGUAAUAUAACGAAAGAGUAGAUAUUGUAAGUUAUGUUUGCCACCUCGAUGUCGACUCAACAUUUCCUCUUGGUUGUAAAAGCUAAGAAGGGUUUGACUGUUCGUCAAUUAAAAUGUUACGUGAGUUGGGUUAAAUACGAUGUGAAUCAGUAUGGUUCCUAUCUGCUGAAGGAAAUAUUAUCAAAUUAAAUCUCAUUAUUAGUACGCAAGGACCAUAAUGAAUCAACCCAUGGUGUAUCUAUUGAUAAUAAUAUAAUAUAUUUAAUAAAAAUAAUACUUAUUAAUAUAUUAUCUAUAUUAGUUUAUAUUUUAAUUAUAUAUUAUCAUAGUAGAUAAGCUAAGUUGAUAAUAAAUAAAUAUUGAAUACAUAUUAAAUAUGAAGUUGUUUUAAUAAGAUAAUUAAUCUGAUAAUUUUAUACUAAAAUUAAUAAUUAUAGGUUUUAUAUAUUAUUUAUAAAUAAAUAUAUUAUAAUAAUAAUAAUUAUUAUUAUUAAUAAAAAAAUA